rnacentral:rRNA from 1 species
CCUACGGGAGGCAGCAGUGAGGAAUAUUGGUCAAUGGUCUGGAGACUGAACCAGCCAAGUCGCGUGAGGGAUGAAUGCUCAGAGUAUUGUAAACCUCUUUUGUCAGGGAACAAAGGCGGGGACGUGUCCCCGGAUGAGUGUACCUGAAGAAAAAGCAUCGGCUAACUCCGUGCCAGCAGCCGCGGGAAUACGGAGGAUGCGAGCGUUAUCCGGAUUUAUUGGGGUUAAGGGGUGCGCAGGCGGUCUGUUAAGUCAGCGGUAAAAGCUCGGGGCUCAACCCCGGCCCGCCGUUGAAACUGGCAGUCUUGAGUUGGCGAGAAGUAGGCGGAAUGCGCGGUGUAGCGGUGAAAUGCAUAGAUAUCACGCAGAACUCCGAUUGCGAAGGCAGCAUGCCGGCUCCAAACUGACGCUGAGGCACGAAAGCGUGGGUAUCGAACAGGAUUAGAUACCCCUGUAGUC